UCGAACGGUAACAUUUCUAGCUUGCUAGAAGAUGACGAGUGGCGGACGGGUGAGUAAUGCUUGGGAACUUGCCUUUGCGAGGGGGAUAACAGUUGGAAACGACUGCUAAUACCGCAUAAUGUCUUCGGACCAAACGGGGCUUAGGCUCCGGCGCAAAGAGAGGCCCAAGUGAGAUUAGCUAGUUGGUAAGGUAACGGCUUACCAAGGCGACGAUCUCUAGCUGUUCUGAGAGGAAGAUCAGCCACACUGGGACUGAGACACGGCCCAGACUCCUACGGGAGGCAGCAGUGGGGAAUAUUGCACAAUGGGGGAAACCCUGAUGCAGCCAUGCCGCGUGUGUGAAGAAGGCCUUCGGGUUGUAAAGCACUUUCAGUUGUGAGGAAAAGUUAGUAGUUAAUACCUGCUAGCCGUGACGUUAACAACAGAAGAAGCACCGGCUAACUCCGUGCCAGCAGCCGCGGUAAUACGGAGGGUGCGAGCGUUAAUCGGAAUUACUGGGCGUAAAGCGCACGCAGGCGGUUUGUUAAGCUAGAUGUGAAAGCCCCGGGCUCAACCUGGGAUGGUCAUUUAGAACUGGCAGACUAGAGUCUUGGAGAGGGGAGUGGAAUUCCAGGUGUAGCGGUGAAAUGCGUAGAUAUCUGGAGGAACAUCAGUGGCGAGGGCGACUCCCUGGCCAAAGACUGACGCUCAUGUGCGAAAGUGUGGGUAGCGAAC
rnacentral:rRNA from 1 species